rnacentral:rRNA from 1 species
GAUUAGAGUUUGAUCCUGGCUCAGAACGAACGCUGGCGGCGUGGAUAAGACAUGCAAGUCGAACGCUGAUUUGUGGGUAGCAAUAUCUCCAAGUCGGAGUGGCGCAAGGGUGCGUAACACGUGGGCAAUCUACCGCAAAGACUGGAAUAACCUGCUGAAAGGCGGGCUAAUGCCGGAUGUUGUUUUCAGGGGGAUUCCUUUGAAAACCAAAGUUGGGGACCGUAAGGCCUGACACUUUGCGAUGAGCCCGCGGCCUAUCAGCUGGUUGGCGAGGUAACGGCUCACCAAGGCAAAGACGGGUAGCUGGUCUGAGAGGACGACCAGCCACACUGGAACUGAGACACGGCCCACACACCUACGGGUGGCAGCAGUUGGGAAUCUUGCACAAUGGGGGAAACCCUGAUGCAGCGACGCCGCGUGGAGGAUGAAGGAUCUAGGUCUGUAAACUCCUUUUUCAGGGAAAGACUUAGGACGGUACCCUGAGAAUAAGCACCGGCUAACUACGUGCCAGCAGCCGCGGUAAGACGUAGGGUGCAAGCGUUGUCCGGAUUUACUGGGCGUAAAGAGCGCGUAGGCGGUCUGUUAAGUGUGAAGUGAAAUCUCCAGGGCUCAACCCGGAAACUGCUUUACAUACUGGCAGACUUGAGGAGUGCAGAGGUUAGUGGAAUUCCUGGUGUAGCGGUGAAAUGCGUAGAUAUCAGGAGGAACACCGAUGGCGAAGGCAGCUAACUGGGCACUAUCUGACGCUGAGGCGCGAAAGCGUGGGGAGCAAACAGGAUUAGAUACCCUGGUAGUCCACGCCCUAAACGAUGGAUACUAGGCGUAAGAGGUAUUGAUCCCUCUUGUGCCGCAGCUAACGCACUAAGUAUCCCGCCUGGGGAGUACGGCCGCAAGGUUGAAACUCAAAUGAAUUGACGGGACCCCGCACAAGCGGUGGAGCAUGUGGAUUAAUUCGAUACUAACCGAAGAACCUUACCCAGGUUGACAUCGAUGGCAAAGCCCUG